AUGCGUCCGUCCCUCUGUCAUGUUCCUUUUCUUCUUCUGCUACUAUUACAUGUGGUCAUUGCUAGACCAUUCUUUCCACUGCCAAGUAAGACCAGUAAUGAAGAGAAGAAGCCCAUACAGACAUUUCGACCGUAUAACAUUGCUCACCGUGGCUCAAACGGGGAAAUCCCAGAGGAAACAAGUGCUGCUUACCUGAGGGCUAUUGAAGAAGGUGCAGAUUUUAUAGAGACUGACAUCCUUGCUAGCAAAGAUGGUGCAUUGAUCUGCUUUCAUGAUGUAACACUUGAUGAUACAACUGAUAUUUCCGGCCGUAAGGAAUUCGCCAAUCGAAGGAGAACCUAUGAGGUGGAAUGGGCCAACGUUACUGGCUGGUUUGUAGUGGAUUUCACGCUUGAGGAACUUAAAACACUUAAAGUGAAGCAGCGAUACUCAUUCAGAGAUCAACAAUAUAAUGGCAAAUUUUCAAUCAUCACAUUUGAAGAAUUCAUUUCAGUUGCCUUAGAUGCAAGCAGAACCGUUGGAAUAUAUCCAGAGAUAAAAGAUCCAGUUUUUAUCAACAAGCAUGUAAAGUGGGCAGAUGGAAAGAAGUUUGAGGACAAAUUUGUGGAUACCUUACUAAAGUAUGGAUACAGGGGUCAAUAUAUGUCCGAAAAUUGGCUAAAACAGCCAUUGUUUAUACAAUCAUUUGCUCCCUCUUCCCUUGUACAUGUAUCAAAUUUGACAGACUCUCCGAAGAUCUUUCUGAUUGAUGAUACCACAGUGAGAACUCAAGACACAAACCAGUCAUACUGGGAAAUCACUUCAGAUGACUACCUUGCAUAUAUUAGUAACUAUGUUGUCGGCCUCGGUCCAUGGAAAGAUACUAUUGUUCCAGUUGCAAAAAACUAUUUGCUGGAACCAACUGAUCUUGUUGCAAGAGCGCAUGCUCAUAAUCUCCAGGUACACCCUUACACAUACAGGAACGAGAACCAGUUUCUGCACUUCGACUUUCAUCAGGAUCCCUAUGCCGAGUUCGAUUUCUGGAUAAAUACGAUGGGGGUUGACGGAUUAUUCACAGAUUUCGCUGGAAGCGUACACAAGUACCAAGAACUGAAAUCUCCACACCCGAAGGACGCAACCGCGAACAGCCUCCUAGUAAAAAUUGCUCAGUUGAUCGCGGCAUACGAAGGCCACUGA
rnacentral:rRNA from 1 species